AGUGAACGCUGGCGGUAGGCCUAACACAUGCAAGUCGAACGGCAGCACAGUAAGAGCUUGCUCUUACGGGUGGCGAGUGGCGGACGGGUGAGGAAUACAUCGGAAUCUACUUUUUCGUGGGGGAUAACGUAGGGAAACUUACGCUAAUACCGCAUACGACCUACGGGUGAAAGCAGGGGAUCUUCGGACCUUGCGCGAUUGAAUGAGCCGAUGUCGGAUUAGCUAGUUGGCGGGGUAAAGGCCCACCAAGGCGACGAUCCGUAGCUGGUCUGAGAGGAUGGUCAGCCACACUGGAACUGAGCCACGGUCCAGACUCCUACGGGAGGCAGCAGUGGGGAAUAUUGGACAAUGGGCGCAAGCCUGAUCCAGCCCUACCGCGUGGGUGAAGAAGGCCUUCGGGUUGUAAAGCCCUUUUGUUGGGAAAGAAAAGCAGCAGGUUAAUACCCCGCUGUUCUGACGGUACCCAAAGAAUAAGCACCGGCUAACUUCGUG
rnacentral:rRNA from 1 species